UCGCGGAUUUUUUUCUAUUUGUCAAAUUUAGACAUUUUUUCAAGUUUUAUCGUAUUUUUUCUUUUUGUAAUGCAUUAGAAUCUGAAUAACAGUACUGUAGUUGAAGAGUUGCCACCGUCAAUUUUGACUUGACGGUCGCAAAUCUCCGUUUUACUGUCUCCGCUACGCGUCGCCAGUAAAACUGCAUUUGCGACCGUCAAAUCUACAAU
rnacentral:lncRNA from 1 species